AGAUUGAACGCUGGCGGCAUGCCUUACACAUGCAAGUCGAACGGCAGCAUGACGUGUAGCAAUACACGUUGAUGGCGAGUGGCGAACGGGUGAGUAAUAUAUCGGAACAUGUCCCGUAGCGGGGGAUAACCUAUCGAAAGAUGGACUAAUACCGCAUACGCUCUAACGGAGGAAGGCGGGGUCGCAAGACCUCGCACUAGUGGGAGUGGCCGAUAUCGGAUUAGCUAGUUGGCGGGGUAAAACGACCCACCGAAGGCGACGAUCCGUAGCUGGUCUGAGAGGAUGAUCAGCCACACUGGAACUGACGACACCGGUACCACGACCUCCGUACGGGACGGCGAGCAGGUGGGGUAAUUUUGGAACAAGUGGCG
rnacentral:rRNA from 1 species